rnacentral:rRNA from 1 species
UACGAAAGGUGCAAGCGUUACUCGGAAUCACUGGGCGUAAAGCGCACGUAGGCGGACUCGCAGGUCAAUUGUGAAAUACCUGGGCUCAACCCGGGAACUGCAGUUGAAACCGCGUGUCUUGAAUACCUGAGAGGGUGGGGGAAUACCUGGUGGAGAAGUGAAAUUCGUAGAGAUCAGGUGGAACACCGGAGGCGAAGGCGCCUGCCUGGCAGUGUAUUGACGCUGAGGUGCGAAAGUGCGGGGAGCAAACAGG